GAAAGAAAUUUAUUUAUUUAUUUAAUUUAUUAUUAUAUUUUUAUACCGCCUUUCUCCCGUAGGACUCAAGGCAGUGUACAGUCAAGAAAAAUAUAGACACACAAACAUCAUAAAAUUGCUAAUUAAAAUUAUUACUUAGUUUGGUCAAUUAAAUAAAACCCAGAAUUAGAUAACAUUUAAAAAAUCAUUCACAUGUUCGUAUGUUUAGCCCCGCCUGUUGGAACAUCAGGGUCUUGAGGGCACGGCAGAAAGCAUGGAGAUCAGGGAUAUUCCGUAUCUCCGGGGGCAGUUCAUUCCAAAGGGUUGGAGCCCCCACAGAGAAGGCCCUCCCCCUGGGAGUCGCCAGUCGACAUAAUUUGACUGACGGUACCCUGAGUAGUCCCUCCCUGUGAGAACGAACUGGUCGGUGGAUUAGAUGGAUUCUGCCUAGAGCUUUUCCUUUUUUAAAUAGAGUGCUGUCUAGUUCUAUGUACAUACUAGAAUUCUUUGAAGUCCUGAAACGGGUAGACUGUUGAAUCAAAACCCCUGGCGUUAAACUUGUUUUCAUGUAAAACCUCAAAAUUCCAACAAAGCUUUACCAUGUCUGGGGGCUUUUCAUUUCAAUAUAUAGUUUGCAUUAGGUCGUAAUAGUUUGUAUUAGGUUCAAUAUAUAGUUUGUAUUUAAUUCUGCAGUGUGGGAGAUAUUUUUAAUGUUAAAUACAACAGUUGCUGCUAUACUUUCAAUAUACUUUUUAAAAGAACUGGGUAUAUUUUUUAUUGAAAGUCUUUAUUGAUAUUUACAGGCAGAAUACUUACAAAAAUAGAGAGGGAAGGAUAUCCUCAUAAUGAGAAUGGGGGAAAUUAUAGAAGACAGUGGCUGAAGAGAGAAAGAGAGCUACCAAAUGCACAAGAGAAAAGAUAUCAGGCCAUCAAGUUGAUGUUGACUUUUAGCAACCAGAUAGAUCUACAGGAUGAGCUGAGACAGUCCAUAAAUUUUAUAGCUAAAACAAGAUUAGCUUGUUAAAGCUUAUGUAUGAAACUUCUUGAAGCCAUGUAUGGAAUCUGCACUUUUCUUUAUUGACUAUACAGUAUAUUGAGCUUCAAUCUUGAACAAAGAAAUAUAUGAAAUUACUGUACACCGUGACAACAAUAAAUUUAAAUUUUCUUGGAAUAUUAA